rnacentral:rRNA from 1 species
AUUGAACGCUGGCGGCAUGCUUUACACAUGCAAGUCGAACGGUAACAGGCCUUCGGGUGCUGACGAGUGGCGAACGGGUGAGUACUGCAUCGGAACGUGCCCAGAGGUGGGGGAUAACGCAGCGAAAGCUGUGCUAAUACCGCAUGUGACCUGAGGAUGAAAGCGGGGGACCAGGCAGCAAUGUUUGGCCUCGCGCCUUUGGAGCGGCCGAUGUCAGAUUAGGUAGUUGGUGGGGUAAAGGCCUACCAAGCCGACGAUCUGUAGCUGGUCUGAGAGGACGACCAGCCACACUGGGACUGAGACACGGCCCAGACUCCUACGGGAGGCAGCAGUGGGGAAUUUUGGACAAAGGGCGCAAGCCUGAUCCAGCAAUGCCGCGUGCGGGAAGAAGGCCUUCGGGUUGUAAACCGCUUUUGUACGGAACGAAAAGGCGCUGGCUAAUACCUGGGGCUGAUGACGGUACCGUAAGAAUAAGCACCGGCUAACUACGUG